UACAGAGGUCCCGAGCGUUGUUCGGAUUCACUGGGCGUAAAGGGUGCGUAGGUGGUUGGGUAAGUUUGAUGUGAAAGCUCAGGGCUUAACCCUGAAAUGGCAUUGAAUACUACUUAACUGGAGGUUUGGAGGGGGGACUGGAAUUCUUGGUGUAGCAGUGAAAUGCGUAGAUAUCAAGAGGAACAUCAGUGGCGAAGGCGAGUCCCUGGACAACACCUGACACUGAGGCACGAAAGCUAGGGGAGCAAACAGG
rnacentral:rRNA from 1 species